UCACUGAUUUAUAGUUUCUUAUAGCUUCAAACUGACUGACAUCUCGAAACAUUCAUUACUUAAUGUGAACUCGAGUCUUGGAAGGACUGUUGAGGCCCAUUUCAACAGCAUUGCUGCGCCUGUCACGUGACGAUCAGAGCUCGAGCGCAGCUUUAUCCAGAUGUUUCAUGGAGCAACAGCUGGUUGUUUUCUGUUUUCUGAGCUCUACUACACCAAACUAAAGAUUCAUCAAGACGACAGAAGAUGUGCUGCAUUGAAGCUACCUGCUGCUACCUGCUAACUUACCAGGUGAACCUGCUUUAUUUGUUAUUCUGUUUUCAAACACUGAAGUUUGACCUCCUUUGACCACAUCUGGCCAGGUGUUACAGAUGUGUGAUGUGCCAUGUCACCUCCACGACCACAACUACUGGAGGAGAGAGCCCAGCAGGAGCCAGAAGGGCACCAGCACCAACAAGGUUUGUCUCUAGUUUGAUUUGGAUUAAGGACAAAGAGCUACUACAGAAGGUGAGCUGUCAGUGAAGAUAUUAGAUAGUAUGAAGCACCUCCUGCUGAGGACAUGGUGGGAGGCAGACUGUGUCCCAUCCUGGGAGAAUACAGAGUCCUACAGCUCCUGCCAGGAAGUCUACAGCCCUGAAGACUGAAGUCUCUGCAGAAGUGUGGAACAGACGGGCUCACUGCCCUGCACCUCGUUCAGCAGAGAAAUAAUGGAAAGGUCUUCAUGCGCCGCCUGGAUGAUGAUGUAUUGUUCUGCUGGCUGUGCGUUCGGUUCCGCCUCGGCCCGUGCUUUACACUAAGUGAUAAGCUGCUGAAAGCAGGAAGAGACAGAGGGAGCAGGAGAGCAGCUCCAGAGCCCUCGAGGAGCCUCCGGAGAGAAGACCCCGUGACAAUGCUGCUGUCCUGCCAGACCGGAGCCCUGGCCCCCAGCCCUCCACCUCCGCCACCUGCCUCCUGUUUUUCUAUUGGUCAAAACCACUCUAUCCUAGCUCGGUGGUCACUACAUACAUUUACCCCACACUAUUGCAUCAGUCUAAAGGGUGGAGCUGAACCAGUCUGAUCGUCCGUCCACCCUCUCUGUCUCUCUAAAAGGUUCAGCAAAGGACGGCAGGAGGAAGGCAGCAGGAGAUCCAGCCCAGAGCCCUCCAGGAGCCUGUCUGGCCCGGCCCCAACAGGCCCCAGCCCGGUGGUCUCCCAUCCUCUGCUUUUAAUGCAGUGGUGGAGAUGGUUAUGGCGUGGGUGACUGACUCUCCAUACAACCCGGAGAUGUGAGCCUCCUGCAGGAGGUGCAGAGCUCCACAGCUGGAGCAGCCAGUAGCUGUAACAGUACCUCGCCCAACCACACCCACACCCACACACUCCAAACCUUUCCUUAACCACUUUCAGCUUUCAUUUCCUUCUUCCAAAACAACCCCCCCCCCCCCAAAAAACCUCCUUAGCAUGUACUGUGGAUAAGUUUUAACUAGGGCUGCACAAUUAAUCGAAAUAUUACCGAAAUCGCAAUAGUGCAAUAUCCAAAUCUUUUUUGAUUAAGGUAAAAUGUGUGACAAAACAGCAUUUUAAUGAAGUAGUGUAGUGCUGCACAGAUGUUGUUGUUCUCCAGAUGUAAGAAAACAUGUUUGUUUGGUACAGACCGCAACAAAUGUCACAUCAUCAUGAUUUUAAUAUGAUUUUUUACCAUAUCAUGGAGCCCUAGUUUUAACUCUUUCAUUUCUGUUUAGUUUGUGGAUAAGUUUUAAGCCUUUCAUUCCUCCUUCGUAUGUACAGUAGACAAGUAAUGUAAGCCUUUUAACUAUUUGAUACCUUCUACACUUUCUUGAAAAACUUAAAAAAUCUAAAGCAUAAAAAGUAAUGGUAAGUAUUCACGCUCACUCACCUUCCAAAUUUCCUUCUACAGUUUCCUAAAAAUAAAAAACAAUUAUUUUUUUUUAGGGAAAUAAAGGAAAUAUAAUGAAAAAUGACUUUCUUUUACCAAUGUGAAUAAGAAUGUUUAAAUCAUCUAGAAUAUAAAAAACAUUUAGGUAAGUAUCAAGUAUUUUAAGUACAUAAAAUGUUUCUAUUAUUAAAUAAUUCUAUCUAAUGACUUCAUGACGCAGGUAAAGGGCUUUAGGAGGGUCUACUUACAAUAUUCCAUUCCACCUGGUUUUUCCUGCAGUUCAUACGUCAGUAAUAAUGACUGUAAUAAAUAUCUGAAGCCUUUUCUACUGUGAUAAUUUUCCCAUGUUCUACCAGGUGCAUUCUUACAUUGAUAAUGUUAAUAUAUUAACUGAGUGAGUUAAAGUACACAUUAGGUGUGUUACGUGAUAGCAUGUUACACUGACUUCAGCCACUAGAGGUCAGGAGUGCAGUUUGAAAGUGUUUUGAUUUAUGAAUCUCACAGCCUGCACUUAUUUGAGCGACGUCCAGGCCCAGGUUUCAUACCUCCAGAGCUCUUGAGGCUGAAACUAAUGGAACCCCUUUUCAGUUAGUUGUUAAGUACCUGGAAAUCUUUCAUCGGUACAUAAGUAUAGAAAAGAUGAAACAGGCAUUUGGAUGGAGCAUUGUCAAGGGUGAGACUCUCCUGAAGACCUAUUAUUUUAUCAAGUGUUCAACACAGGUAAACUUGUUAUAACACAACAAGUUAAAUUUAUUUAUCAGUAGCAGUAGUAGUAUUAUUUGUUGCAGUGCUAAAACAGCUUUUGAAAGGGAAACUACAAAACAUAUUAAGAAUCUAAAAAUAAGCUAAUAAAGAUAUUGAAUUUUAACAUUAGCAGCCGUUGUGAUAAAAUUACUAACAGCUCAUAGAUGUGUUUUUAAAACAAAUUCAUUUGACUACAUAAUUUUGAUCAGCAAAAAUACUUCAGGUUUCUCUUUUUUCUAACGUUUGUCUUUGUUAAAGAAGGAAAGAGCUUGAAGGUCUGUAGGCAAUAUUCCAUUCACAAACCUUUUUGCUUUUGUUUAUAGGUCAGUUUAUAAUGACUUAAACAAUCUUUUAUAAUGAUUAAAAUAUUUUAGUUAUAUCUCAGUAUGUUAACUGAUGAACAAUUGAAACUAACUACCAGAUGUUUUAGAGCCUUAUUUUGUAGGUGGUAUAACUACAUUGCUAUAUGAACGAUAGGAAACAUAUUUGGAUGGAACAUUGUCAAAGGGUUAGGGUAAGGGAGGGUCAGACCCUCCUAAAGACCUUUCCUUCGGUUAUAGAGGUCAAAACGGACAAACUCAUUAUAACAUGACACAAAAAGUUACCACGGUACAUUGAAUGCAUCAUGAGUAGCAGUAGUAGUAUUCGUAGCAGAUUUAAUACUACUGUGGUAGUUGCAUUAGCAACAGCAGUACUAAAACACCUUUUAAAGGGAAACUAAAAAAUGUUUUAACAUCCAAUGUCCGCAGUUUUGAGCCGCAUUGCAUUCUGGUUGUGUUGCGGCUCAAUCACGGCUCCAUCAGGGUUUCAGUGCCCACAGGAAACAUGUCAGAAGUGGAGCGUCUGUUCUUCAGCAGCCACAUGUCUAAUAUAGUUUAAAGUUGUUUUGCCGACAUUUUUGGUGCUGUACAUGCAUAAAGGUCAUAGGGUCUGCUGGUAAUAUUCUAUUCUAGCUGUUUUUACCUACAGUUCAUAUGUCACUAUAAGGACUGAAAAUAUCUGAAGCUUUUGUCGCCUCCUGUGAUCACUCAUGAUGAGUGAAAAUAUCUAAAGUAUUUUACUGUGGUCAUUUCUUGUGUUUAAAGCGUUUUUAUCUCAGCAUAUUGACUGCUGAACAAGAGAACAGACAUAUGGAUUAGUCAUAUAAGUGAUUCAAGUCAAAUGAUGCUUUUCUCUCGUGCAAGUGAAUAUUGCUGUGUUUCGGCCAUAGAAGAGACAUUCAUCCCAGUCAUCAAAUUGUCCUUUGAUGGGACAGAGAUUGACUUAGUCUUUGCCCAGGUGGAACUGAAGAGCGUUCCUGAAAACCUGGACCUUCUCAAUAACAAGCUCGCUUUGAGAGCCAUCAAGCUGUGGGCCAAACGACCGUUCUGGUAGCCAGAAUUUGUCAGCUGUACCCACAUGCUACAGCGUCCACCCUGAUGACCAAAUUCUUCUUGGUCUUCUCCACGUGGUGAAUCCAAGUGACCGCUGCCACCUAAUGCCCAUCAUCACCCCAGCAUACACACAGCAGAACUCCACAUUUAACAUGUCUCCCUCCACCUUAGCCAUCAUAACAGAAGAGAUCCAACGGGUCUACAGCCUGGCAGAGAGCUGUGAGAUAUAUAAAGAGGGGAUGACCAUAUCAGCCACAUACGUGAAGAGGGAAAAUCUCAGCUGGGAGAUGCCUAAUGGCCAACGCAAAGGGAUUUUCAGUCCAAAACCAAAGACCACAGUGAGCCACCAAAUCUCUUCCCACGGUACCACCUAGUCACACACCACCUGUCAGUGCAGGCCAACCAGCCACAAAGAGGAAAGGCUGGCCUCACUCUGAGAUGCCAGCCAAGAAGAUCAAAGCUGAAAAGGAGUCAGUGUCUGUGACUAACAGCUCAUCUGUUCAAGCGUCCACAGCCAGCAAACCAGCUUCACCCUCUGUGAUUCCAGGAGCCACAGAGACCUUGUUCUCCCCAUUCAGAAACUUCACCUAAGAAGUUCAAAGCUGAUGAGGAACCAACUCCAGAGACAAAAGGCACGUGCUCUGAAGAGUCCUCUACAGGUGUCUCGCUCAGUAAGAGUCCGUCCCCCAGUGUGAGCUCACCAAGAGGCCCGGCACUCCUGAGCUUGAGACGCCGACCAAGAAAUUCAGAUUUGACCUGGUGCUAAACCGUCUUCAAAGGAGUUCUGUUAAGUUGACAUACACAAUUUCUCAGCUUGUGCUCGAUAAAUUAGGUCUUAAGAGACCCAUUUGCUGCCCUGUUCCACUGUAUACAAGAUAUUCUUAUUUUGUGACUUACUACUUGCCAUCUGUUCAGAGUCAGCCCACUGUCGAGCUGUCUGACUUGCCUCCCGGCCCCACCAACCUAUUACUGUUGUGAAAUGUGCCAUCAAACUUCAACUCAGGUCUAGCACAGAAUUAUGAAUAGAAACGUCUGAGUUCCCUCUAGCUGUAAACACGUAUUCUCUUUCCUACCUGGAAGGCUUGUUGUAAGAUAGACUGAUAGAGCUGAUGAAUGUUGUAUCUCUUCACCACAAGAGGGCAAUGAAGCCUUUCUGCCUGGCUCUUCCUCAACUGUAGCAAAGGAAUGGGUACACAGAUACACUGGUCAAAGACUUGUCACUUGGUGACAGCAAAACCUGAUGCAGGUUAGAGUUAAAGGAGCAUCUUUACCUUUAGUAAUCUUUUUAUAAAUGGAACAGCCCGGAAAAACACAAGCGCUGAGUGGUUGACAAGCCUGAAGAUUAUAUGGCUGCUUUCUCCCCCCUGACCAAGAGGAAAAACUCCAUCAUGUUUCCCAGAAGCAGCAAAUGAACCGGUGAAGCUAAAGCACUGGUGGGUCGCUACAACCCCUUCACCAGAGUCAAGGGAGAUACUGAGCGUGGUUUUCCUGCCAUUCCUCCGCUAGAACCCAGUCUAGCCUCCAUUCUGCUACCUAAAGCAACUCGAUGUGAACCUACGCCGCCAUCUGAAUGUGACCUAGUCACCGCCCGCCUCACUGACCGUGCUCACCAGUACGCUGCUUAGACAGCAACAGCCUUCAUUAACUUCUCGCCGCUCAGCCUGGUGCCCUCCCUCCUGAGCUGGAAAGUGAGAUCGGAAAAGCAAAAGCGGCUGUCCUGACUCUCUCCAAGUAACAUGUGGCUCCACAUAUCCCAGCUUCCCAAGCAAAGGACUGCUGGAUAGCCCCGUCAGCCCAGACGGGCUCUUUGGGCUGCUCAUCCACGAGGCGGUCACUCACAUUCAAGAAUUGACCGCUUCGUCAUGUCCUCAGUGUUGCCUGGCCUCCUGGUGUGACCGCUUGGAUUCCUGCUCCAAGCUCAGGCGCCCCACAGCCACUGAUGUCGCUGCGUCUCAGCCAGCUCCUGCUCAGCAUCCUCCUUCUCCUCAGCCUCCCCCAGCGGUUCAGCCUGCUCUGUGCCACACCACUGGCAAGAACAGAUGCCCAGCUUGCACCGUGUCCAACCCGCCCAUUGAGCCUCCUCAGUCAUGGUUUCUGACAAUGAUGCAGCUGCUGUCGGGGAUACCAUGGCAACUGCUGUGGUGCAGUGACACAAUCUCCCAGCUGAAUGGCUCAAUCAGACAUUUUCCAGUGAUAGGCCGUUUAGCGUUUGUGGGUUUGGCCCCUGAAUGGGAGUGCUUGGAAAGAUUAUGUCUACCUCCUGAAGUAGUAUGAACCAUUCAGUGUGUGAGAUCUCCAUCUACUACUGCCUCUUACACAGCGAAAUGGUCCACUUUUCAGUCAUGGUGUAUGGAUAGGGGCACAGAUCCCACAUCAUGCCAUCUGUCCAAUGGGUUGACUUUCUUCCAACUGUUAGCGGAUAGAAAUUUGCCUCUAUCUACAAUUAAAACAUAUGCUACGGCCAUUUCAUCCUGUCAUGAAGGCUACGGAGAGAGAUCUGUUUUUGCGCAUCUGCAGGUUGAGUGCUUUUUGAAAGGAGUCAGAAAACAGCGUCCUGUCAUGAGCUCCGGACCACACUGGCUCCACCUACAUCAGCUGAAGAAAAAGCUGGCUUAAUUGGGAGCAGAGCUCAGGUCCCACAGGUGUUAUUUACCAUGGAUGCAGACCUGAGAGAGGCCCAUGCAGGGAACAAGGGCGUGAAAGAAAAUCUUCAUGACUGCGAAUGCGUGUGAGGUUAAUCUAGGGUUACAAUACGUAACCAACGUUUUCAUGUCUCUAACCAGAAGUUUCCUUGUGUAAUGGUGCCAUCAAAUGGGUAAAAGCGUAAUGGCAUAGGAUCGUGUUUUUAAUUCCAUAACCAAUCAGAGACUGUCAAUGACUUCUGUGUUUUGAUUAUGGGCCAAUUGGGAAUAUCCCAGCAAACUGUCAGGAUAUUUUGAAAAUAUGAGUGAGCAGGUGAAUUUGCUCAACCUACCAGCCAUGGUGGCAGGUAAAUAAAAAUAGUGUAGCAGAGAGAUUUGUAACAUUCCACAACACAGAUUGAAUCGCGAGUCUGAUUGUUUCACUUGGACAUGAACGAGAAGACACAGAAAAACAAAGCGGCGUUUCAUUGCAGGAGUUCACAUAAUAUGCAAAAAAAGAUUCCACCUUAAAAGUUGCCGGUAGAUUCCGGUAACCUUUGAACAGCAGUCUGUAGCUAGCUAACGUUAACUAGUAGAAAUGAAAAGGCCCCAAUCCUUCCAGUCAUGAUUCAUUCUUCUGAUGUUUUUCUUUAUUUGUGGUGCAUUUGCAAAGAAACAUGUCAAAGCCAGCCUGUUAAACUUGGCCAGCUUGUGCUGCAUCCACAAUGCCUGCAGGAAAUGAAAGCUUGCUUACCGGUAACGCCGUUUUCAUAGCCUAGCCUAUUAGAUGAGCUUGACCUCUGCAUGUGCUGCAACUUUUCCUCAGAAUGGAUGUUUCCACUGCAGCUUCAUUUUUUGGCCAGCACAAAUUAGUAAAUGAAAUCAUUCACAACAUAAACUACUUGUGUUCAUUCGCCUACAAGUUAUUGCUUAAUGCAGCUAAUUACAACCUACUACCAAAAUGUAUUAAAUGUAUUAAAGAGUUGGUGCUGAAACAAAAACAUUAACAAACAAUUUUUUAAAUAAUUUUAAGUCAUUAAUGAAGUGCACAUGCCAACCAUCAUUUGGUUUCAGCUCAUAAGUGUAAGGAUUAUAUAUAUAUAUAUAUAUAUAUAUAUAUAUAUAUAUAUAUAUAUAUAUAUAUAUAUAUAACUAAAUGUUGUUUUUAGAGCUGCAAUAGUAAUGUAACAGCAAAAUCACAAUAUGAAACUCAAUAAUAUCUCACUGUAAAAUAAUCUGAAAUGUAUAUAACAUAAAUAAUAUUCCCGACAUCAAAAUACUGACUGAAGUUUAGAAUACCUGCCUACAGGUACCUCUAGGGAGGAAGGGCCAGUUUGUCUCACACUGUUUACACAAGUUUACAAGACUUAAGUCAUUUAACUUCACCUGACUUUAAUAAACAAUGUCAGGUCAGAAACAGUAAAAAAUGUGGCAAUCAUACAAACAUGACAUCAAGUGAUAUUUCUGCCAAAAGCCCUUUGAGGUAUCAAGAUGUAAAGCAUCUACAUCAGCAAAUGUUUGUUUGGUUGAGAAAUGACUGAAGAUUAACACAAUCAUUGAAAUUUCUUGUCUUGUUGGACCAAGAGUCAAAAGCCCAAAUAUUACCACACCCAAGGUUCACAGUCUCAUCUUUUGCAAGUGGAAUUACUCAUGUGAUCUGUUUUUAAGGACCUGCACCUUUGUGGAAGGCCUGUUGACACUGAAGCCCAUCAGCACUUUCAAAUGUGUAUCUUAGGUCCUUGAGGAAGCUCAAGUUUAAACUGUAGAGAAGACCAAGCAGGACUGCACACUUUUGCCACAUUUCUCAGAUCACUCUCAAAUCUUGAAGCACUUUGAGUCUCUCAAUUAUGACGCCGAAAAUUAUUUUAGAGUUGAGUUUUAACACCAUGAAAAAUGCAGGGAUGCUUCUGGUAUAUUAACUAAUUUCUUUUGCUGAAAUGAACAGUUUAGUUGAUUGUUAAGUGUCACUCACAAGUUAAUUAUUAUAUUGAGAGUACAUUUUGGUUUGUGUUCAGUGUGUGAACAGCCUGGGGAAAAUUCGUACGGAGUUCAGUAGGUCCACAGUGCUAAAUGCCCGGAGGCUUCUGGUAUUUUAACCACUUUCUUGUGUUGAAAUGGAUGGUUUAGUUGAUUACUGAGUGUAACCAGUGGUGGAAGAAGUACUCAGAUCCUUUAUUUAAGUAAAAGUAGAAAUACCAUGGUCUAAAAGUACUCGAUUACACGUAAAAGUCCUGAAUUCAAAAUGUUGUUACUUAUUGUCUGUCACAAAGAAACAGAAUUUUUUCUUUGAUAAGGCAAAAAAAAAGCACUCAUAGAAUAGGACUGAAACUGUUGAAAUAUGUACAUAAGUAUUAUCAGCUAAAUGCAUUAAAAAAAUCUAAAGUAAAAUUACUUAUGCGGAGUGGCUCCUUUCAUGGUAUUAUAUUAUUAUAGAAUAUUCUAGUAUUGUGGUUCUUAGCGAAUCAAUGUGGAGAUACUUAAAAUACAACUGGGUAGAUUAGUGGCACGUGACCUUUUUUCCAUGAUUAAGAUAAGAUGUUGACGAGCUUAAAAUAGAUCUUUGAUAAUAAAAACUAUGAUAAAAUGUAUGUUUUGUUUUCGUUGAUGAGACAGGCCUGUUCAAAAUGUUAGUUGUGCGCUGUCGGACAUUCAAAAAAUGCUUAUUUUGACACAACUGUGCAUCUAGUCUGUCUGUCAAAAUAUAAACAAUUCAUCCCUGUCAUUCAUUGAUGUGACCUGCAGAUUCCCAGAAUCCCAGGUGAUGCUGUCCCAAACUAACAAUGAAUUAAUGACAUCAACAUGGCUUCAGCGCAAAAAGCGUUUGGUCGGGAAAAAGAAUAGAUCUAUGAACACAUUUUAUUUAUAAUUCGGAAGAAAGGAAAACACAAUGGUCUGUAGUAACGGUAGACGGAGGGACUCUUUGUGGCUACAAAUUAGGUGGGAAGAAUACAAAAAACCCAAAGAGACACAGAAGGCGCAUCACCCUGCUAUUUAUGCCACGAGGGAGGUUAAGCAACAAUUCAUUUACCAGUUGGUCCUUGUCUGUCAGUGAACUUGUGAGGCAAACCUGACACAGCAGAGUGAAGAUGAAGAACAGGCCUUUGGUGGUUCUGACACCAGCCACUCCUGUGCUUCUGAA